rnacentral:rRNA from 1 species
GAUGAACGCUGGCGGCGUGCCUAACACAUGCAAGUCGAGCGGGAAAUACUUAAGCAAAUCUUCGGAAGAGCGAGGGUAUGGAGAGCGGCGGACGGGUGAGUAACGCGUAGGCAACCUGCCCCGUACAGAGGGAUAGCCUCGGGAAACCGGGAUUAAAACCUCAUAAUGCGAGAGACCCACCUGGAUCUUUCGCCAAAGAUUUAUCGGUAUGGGAUGGGCCUGCGUCUGAUUAGCUAGUUGGUGGGGUAACGGCUUACCAAGGCAGCGAUCAGUAGCCGACCUGAGAGGGUAAUCGGCCACAUUGGAACUGAGACACGGUCCAAACUCCUACGGGAGGCAGCAGUGGGGAAUAUUGCACAAUGGGCGAAAGCCUGAUGCAGCAACGCCGCGUGAGCGAUGAAGGCCUUUGGGUCGUAAAGCUCUGUCCUUGGGGAAGAAAAAAAUGACGGUACCCUUGGAGGAAGCCCCGGCUAACUACGUG